ACCAGGAUGGCCGAGUGGUUAAGGUGCUGGACUUAAGAUCCAAUAGAUGUUUGUCUGUGUGGGUUCAAACCCCACUCCUGGUA
rnacentral:tRNA from 1 species